CAAAUCAUCCUGAUGGCUCCUUCAGAACUUCACUGAAACUAGUUUCGCAGGAAGAAUCCAGAAGAUUUGCACCUGUAGACAUGAAGCAAGGCACUGAUUUCACUGUUGACAACAAUAUGUCGCUAUGUGCUGUGGACACGGGACUUCCAUAGAUGUUAAUAUAUUGUCGAAUGUGGUGCAGAUCAGCUCGCCCGAUUGGCAGCCUGAGGCUUCGGCUCUUCAUUGGCCGUUCUUCCUUUGUCUUAGGGAGCCACCAUCAUGUGGGCCGGCAAUGCAGCUACAACGGUUCUCGCUCGGUGAACGAAGGCUAUACGGAUGUCACGAGUCGUUGCUUUAAAUUUAAUUGAAA